rnacentral:misc_RNA from 1 species
GUCACGAUUCAACAAAUUAGUUAAGCCAACAAGACUGGAGAAAAUCCCCAUAUAAUUUAACAGACUGGAGAAAGUUUUAAUAAAAGAAAAUAUUUGACAAGAUUAUCCUCUAGAUUCCUGUCUAAAUCAAAGAGACUAAGAUCUUUUAUCUUCAAGCAAUUUGGUGAAAGCGUGAGCUCCACCUAGUAUCUGAGAAGAAUGAACCACAAUCUGAAAUUCAUUAUGUUGCCAAAACCAAGCACUAAAGCAUUGAAUAAGUAGCAGAAUUGCAGGUCAAUUCUACAGGAACAGAGGCAGGAUGACCCAUCGACGUGGAUAUUUAGGUCUUCCAUCCUUCCCAUCAAAUAGCUUCUUCAAUCGC